GUGUCUUGCACGGUGCAUUCAUCAAAGGUACUGUAUUUCAGAAUGAGAUCAACCAGCAUUUAAACGUUUUUCAAAUCUUUCUGUGCAUUGCACGGUGUCUUCUUCCAGCGCCGAAAACUUGGGCAACUAAAUGUAACCAAUGCUAACAAAAGCCGAUGCUAGUUCAGGACCGAGGAGUACACAUUUCUCCGUGUAACUGCAGAAGGGGAGGACAUUUUGUCAGGUUGAACCAGCUUGGCCUUCUUUUGCUGCCUCUUGCUGCUGCUUCUCUGCCCAGUACUUCUGAAGCGGUGGCCCAAAUAUAACAUUCCCAGAAAUCACUCCGAUCCUGUAACAAUUGUAUAUGAAAGAAUAACUAACAACAUCAACACAAGAUUAUGCUGCCAACAUAAUAAGUAGAUAUGCAACUGCGACUGUAGCCAGCGAGCACAUAAGAAACAGGACUUCCUUUGACAAAGACAACUCAGGAAAUAAAACAGAAAUGGGCAGUGGGCACAAAACAAUAAUUUCCAUGUACAAUCAGCACAAGGAAACACCACUUGCAAGAUAAAUUAUAUAUUUAUGUGGAUGCAAAAGCCAAAAAAAAAUCUUCAUGUUAUUGUCGCAGGAGUACAAAUGUUACUGCAAGCUGGGUGCUGGACUUCAUGAGUUGCCAACUCCCAAAUUUAUAUAUGAUGGCGACUCUGUUACCCUUAGUUUCAGAUUCCAAGAGAAGUUUUCAUCAAAUGAUCUACUGAAAAAACCCGUGUCCACACUACACGCUUAGUCUUUAUAAUCAAUAACAACUACAUGAAGUAAUCGAAGGACCAUGCACUGUUCGAUCAUGUUGCAGUCCACAAAGUUCUUUAAUGUCGAAAGGCUCUCAACUUUUACAAUAUCUAGAUUGAAAUCAAAUAUAAAUGAUGCAUCUGCAGUUAUGCACAUAAAAGCUAUCAUGAAUGCACACACCACACCUACUCCAAAACAAUAAUUGCCAUGUACAAUCAGCACAAGGAAACACCACUUGCAAGAUAAAUUAUAUAUUUAUGUGGAUGCAAAAGCCAAAAAAAAUCUUCAUGCUAUUGUCGCAGAAGUACAAAUGAUACUGCACGCUGGGUGCUGGACUUCAUGAGUUGCCAACUCCCAAAUUUAUAUAUGAUGGCGACUCUGUUACCCUUAGUUUCAGAUUCCAAGAGAAGUUUUCAUCAAAUGAUCUACUGAAAAAACUCGUGUCCACACUACACGCUUAGUCUUUAUAAUCAAUAACAACUACAUGAAGUAAUCGAAGGACCAUGCACUGUUCGAUCAUGUUGCAGUCCACAAAGUUCUUUAAUGUUGAAAGGCUCUCAACUUUUACAAUAUCUAGAUUGAAAUCAAAUAUAAAUGAUGCAUCUGCAGUUAUCCACAUAAAAGCUAUCAUGAAUGCACACACACACCUACUCCAAAGAAAAAUUCCUAAAGCUAAAGUUGUGCCAAGGCCAAAGGUUAGAAACUCAUGCUGUAGCCUUGUGGGAUAUCAGAAACUCAGCCAUGCACAGAAGAUGUCGUAUCAUUUCAAC
rnacentral:lncRNA from 1 species